rnacentral:rRNA from 1 species
AUGACUGGGGUGAAGUCGUAACAAGGUAACCGUAGGGGAACCUGCGGUUGGAUCACCUCCUUACUGA